UCGCUUUGUUGUGAGAAGAAGAAGCUUGAUUAUAUCGCGAUGGAGUCACGAAGUUGAUUGUCCCUUCGGGGACAUCCGAUAAAAUUGGAACGAUACAGAGAAGAUUAGCAUGGCCCCUGCGCAAGGAUGACACGUACAAAUCGAGAAAUGGUCCAAAUUUUUUUUCCUUUUUUUUUUCCAAUUCGAUUCCGUCCAAAACUCUAGAAUUCCAGCUCUGAUGAUCAUCUUCAAAUGGAUUUGUUCUCUUUUCUGUUCUGAAUAGGUGUUGAAUCACAUUUGUGAUUCUCUUUGAACUCAACCCUCAAUUUGAAUUCUUCAGAGGUUCCUAGGUUGUCUUAUCUCAUCUCCGGGACUAAAGGUGAUAGACAUAGGAUGAUGAGGACAUCUCAAGCUGUGUAUCAUCCAAGAAAACCAGUAUAUUCUUCAUUUAGACUCCUAAGGAAAGGCUGGAGCUUGCAAUGUCUGUGUAAGAGUGAUCUUGUUACCUAUAAAGAGGCCCUACAAUGCUCGCUUGUACUCUUCAAUCCGUGGCCAUUUUGCUUAAAGAGAGCUUAGAUUGGUUUCAAGACCAGGCGGAGCUUGUUCAGACACUUUUAUCAGAUGAAAUACAGAAGUAAACAAUGUUCAUGGAAUGUAAUGAAACUCAAAAUUGUACAUUGCUUGAAUUACACUCAAUAGAUUUUGUAUGCCACAA